UGGUUUGUGAUCGAUGAGUUAAUAAUAUAGUAUUGAGACUAUGCAUGAAAGGUGAUGAGCAGGACGUGUUGAACAUUAUGAUGAGGGAACACUGUAUAUUUUGAGAAUGGUGAGAUAAACUUUAUGAUUGUUGAGCAAUGCCUGUUACUGAGAAUGUCUACUGAGUUAUGAUGUAAACAUGAAACUAUGUUAUUUCCUUGUACUGUCGUCGGUCAUGUUUACGAGAUAGUGAUUCAAGUGUCAUUUCCCUCUGUGUGGGGGGAGGUGGAUGUCUUGCCCAAAGGGCUUUUCAAUAAGUCGGGGAGAUAGGUCGGAAGUUGCGAUGGAAGACGACUUGAAUUGCCCUGUUGAGGAAACAGAUACCUGUUAGUGAUAACAGGUCAUGACGACACAGUAUAAGAAAACGACAUUGGUUCAUGUAUGGUGUGGCUAUAAUAUUAAUGUUGUGAUGAAAUAUGUUAUAUGAUUAUAUUAUUUUGUAAUUAAAAUGAAAUAUGUUUUGUGGUGUGUUAUGAUAUUUCUAGUUGCUCACCCUGAAGUAUAAAUAACUUCUCGUAAGGCCCACCAACAUUGAUAAACCAUUACCUCUAGUUCAGUUAAAUGAUCUAAAGCUCCAAGGAAACUUAACUAACUCUUAUCUCACUUAUACUCUCCCUCCUUAUAUGCAGAACUAGUUUAGAAACCUGAUCAAUAACUCUAUUUAUCCUCAAAGACCAUCUUUUAGAAAUCUUAACCCAUCUUUGGGUGUUUGGUGAGUUGAUGCAUG
rnacentral:lncRNA from 1 species